rnacentral:rRNA from 1 species
UACGUAGGGUGCAAGCGUUGUCCGGAAUUAUUGGGCGUAAAGAGCUCGUAGGCGGUCUGUCGCGUCUGCUGUGAAAACUCGGGGCUUAACCCCGGGCCUGCAGUGGGUACGGGCAGACUAGAGUGCGGUAGGGGAGACUGGAAUUCCUGGUGUAGCGGUGAAAUGCGCAGAUAUCAGGAGGAACCCCGGUGGCGAAGGCGGGUCUCUGGGCCGAUACUGACGCUGAGGCGCGAAAGCUAGGGGAGCAAACGGG